AUGACUGAAGACGAGGCACAAUGUGUGUAUGAGGGGUUCAUCCAGAAGGCAAGCUACCUGCAAUAUAUGUCCAAGAUCUAUUCAGGAGACAGGACCAGAGACAAGACUGAAGACAGAAUGUGGCUUCUAGUGGCAGAUGAUUCUGGUACUUCUUCAAAAUACUGUGCAAACUCACCACUGAACUUUGGACAGGGCACUCAGCUGACAGUGCUAGGGGAGAAUGAUGAAAUCAUACCACCAGCUGUGGCCAUCUUUUCCCCAUCAAAGCAAGAGAUCCAACAGAAGAGCAAGGCCACACUGGUAUGCCUGGCCUCUGGUUUCUAUCCUGACUACCUCAAUCUAGUCUGGAAAGUGAACGGUGCUCAGAGGACAGAAGGGGUGGGGACAGAUGAGUCUUCCACGUGGAAUGGGAGUACCUACUCAUUGACCAGCCGACUGAGGCUCUCAGCCCAGGAAUGGUUCAAUCCUUUGAAUCGUUUUGAGUGUGUUGCCACGUUCUUUAAGAAUGAGACACUGGAAUCGAUACACAAAUUCAUCUCUGGCGAUGCUGGUUGUACUAUCUUCAAAGAAAACUAUCAGAGAAGUGCUAUAGCUGGGAAGAUUGUGUACAUCAUGCUCAUUUUCAAGAGCAUUUUGUAUGGGAUGUUUGUGAUUGGGCUGAUGCUCAGGUCCAAGACAUGUCAGCUGAGUAAGCAGUACUGAAUCCCACUAUUGUAAACUGAGUUUAUAGCUGAAGGAAUCUGAGACAUUCAAAACGGAAAAGACAUACUUUUAUUAACAUCCUUCUCUUCAUCAAUAGCCAUUCAAGGAAUAAAAUGUCAUUAACCUUACAAAUACGCUGUCACUCGUUUUCUGUCCAAGUGACUCCCAUUAAUUAAAAUUAAAUUACCCUUGAUUUAUAAUAAUGUAAGGGAAAGAAAAGCAAAAUCUUUAUCUUGCUUUCUUUUCUUCUUUCCUUCCAUCCUUCCUUCCUUCUUCCAUUCCUUUCUUUAUUUUUCCUUCCUUCUUUCCUUUUCUUUUUCUCUUGCCCUCCCAGUUUCCCUCCCUCCAUCUCUUCCUACCUUCCUUCCUUCCUAUCAACCAUUUUACUGAAACACAAAUGAAGUAAUCUACUUCUCUCUAGCUAUAUGUGUUCUAAAUGCUUUAAUAUUUUUGUUGCAAAUGAAUCUAAGUCCCUCACCUGUAAUAAGAAUUGAAACCCUGGCAGACUGAACUGUGGAAAACUAGAUCAUUCCCUUUCAUCUCUCACUCAGAGAUGCACUUACAUAACAAUCGUUACGUGGACCUAGUAUUUCUCAGUGGUUCAUCUUUAACUUCUGGGUUUUUUUCCUUCUGU